rnacentral:rRNA from 1 species
CGGCGGACGGGUGAGUAACACGUGGAUAACCUACCUAUAAGACUGGGAUAACUUCGGGAAACCGGAGCUAAUACCGGAUAAUAUAUUGAACCGCAUAGUUCAAUAGUGAAAGACGGUUUUGCUGUCACUUAUAGAUGGAUCCGCGCCGCAUUAGCUAGUUGGUAAGGUAACGGCUUACCAAGGCAACGAUGCGUAGCCGACCUGAGAGGGUGAUCGGCCACACUGGAACUGAGACACGGUCCAG